UUUUACUUGCUUGGCUGAACAGAUUUCAUGCAUUUUGAAUCUGUGUAGGAAUUCCUUUGCAAUUGACCAUCUGAGGCUUCGUCAAACUUGUAACCCUUUCAUGAAUAACGGCCUGACAUUGUGCUUCAAGCUACAGUGUGUAUGAUUUAGGGGUGUUUAUUUCCAGAAGUAGAAUAUAGCAUUAAUAACCAUCUGUGCAUUAAUGCAAAUCAAAUCAAUGGGUUUUCAU